GCGGGAUAGCUCAGUUGGUAGAGCAACGGACUGAAAAUCCGUGUGUCCCCAGUUCAAUUCUGGGUCCC
rnacentral:tRNA from 1 species